CACUUGUUAGUGGCAGAAUCUUUGGAGAAAUCAUAGUUCUUGGGCUCUGGGGGAACUACGACCGCAAGGCUGAAACUUGAAGGAAUUGACGGAAGGGCACACCAGGGGUGGAGCCUGUGGCUUAAUUUGAAUCAACACGGGGAAACUUACCAGGACCAGAUGUUUUUUAUGACUGACAGGCUUUGGGUCUUUCAGGAUAUUGCUUUUGGUGGUGCAUGGCCGUUGGUGGUGCGUGGGUUGACCUGUCUAGCGUUGAUUCAGCUAACGAGCGAGAUUAUCGCCAAUUAUUUACUUCGUCUAAGUCCUUAGAUGCAAGUUCUAAUUGGGACUCCCUGCGAUUUUAGCAGGUGGAAGAGGGUAGCAAUAACAGGUCCGUGAUGCCCUUUAGAUGCUCUGGGCUGCACGCGUGCUACAAUGUUAGGAUCAAUAGGACUGCAAAGCCGAGAGGCUGCGCUACUCUUAUAAUCCCUAACGUAGUUGGGAUUGACGUUUGUAAUCAGCGUCAUGAACCAGGAAUCCCUUGU
rnacentral:rRNA from 1 species